AAUUAAAGUUAGAUAUUAUGUAAACUUAUGUUAAAAAAACACCAAUUUUUGUAUCUAAAAUAAAGCGAAAUGUCUUAACUUAAACAAUACGACAUAUUUUUAUUACAAGUAUAUGAUUAUCUAUAAAAAAAAAUAAACAUAUAAAAAAAUCGUAAAACUUGCGGGCCCGAACGGGCUAGCCCGAAACCGAGUGGGUUAGGGUUAGGGUCGAAAAAUUUUAGCCCGAAAAAUAAAAAAACC
rnacentral:lncRNA from 1 species